GGUUCUUGGCGAGGUAGUGUCUAAUUGGCACUAUCGAACCUGGGUCAGCAACGAGGGAG
rnacentral:rRNA from 1 species